UUUUAAAGUCAUAGAUAUAUCUUCAGUUUACUAGCUUAUCUUGGAAAUUUUAAUUUUUAAACUAGGAUUAGAUACCCUAUUAUUUUAAUAUGUAUGUCUUUAUGCUUAGGUAGUAUUAGUUAUGGUCUUGAAACUUAAAAAAUUUGGCGGUAUUUUAGUCUGUUCAGAGGAACCUGUUCUGUAAUCGAUAGUCCACGUUGGACCUUACUCGAUCUUGUUUAUCAGUUUGUAUACCGCCGUUAUUGAAUAUUUUAUUAGAAUAAUAAUUUUCGAUUUACUUUAUUAAAGGUUUAUAUCAGGUCAAGGUGCAGCUUAUGGUUGAGAUUGUAAUGGGUUACAAUAAUUUUAUUUAUACGGAUAUUAGAAUUAAAUUUCUGGUUGAAGGCGGAUUUGAUAGUAAAGUUAUUUAGAUAAAUGGUUUGAUUUUAGCUCUAAAAUAUGUAC
rnacentral:rRNA from 1 species